rnacentral:rRNA from 1 species
CCUACGGGGGGCAGCAGUGAGGAAUAUUGGUCAAUGGACGAGAGUCUGAACCAGCCAAGUAGCGUGAAGGAUGACUGCCCUAUGGGUUGUAAACUUCUUUUAUAUGGGAAUAAAAUGUUCCACGUGUGGCAUUUUGUAUGUACCAUAUGAAUAAGGAUCGGCUAACUCCGUGCCAGCAGCCGGGGUAAUACGGAGGAUACGAGCGUUAUCCGGAUUUAUUGGGUUUAAAGGGGACGUAGGUGGGUUGGUAAGUCAGUUGUGAAAGUUUGCGGCUCAACCGUAAAAUUGCAAUUGAAACUGGCAGUCUUGAGUACAGUAGAGGUGGGCGGAAUUCGUGGUGUAGCGGUGAAAUGCUUAGAUAUCACGAAGAACUCCGAUUGCGAAGGCAGUUCACUGGACUGCAACUGACACUGAUGCUCGAAAGUGUGGGUAUCAAACAGGAUUAGAUACCCCUGUAGUC